ACUCGGCAGGUCUGCUAGUGUCUGCUGUUGACCUACCUGCAUUAUUACCUGAAGUAUUUUACAUAUGCCUGCGAUUUUAACUUGUGGGAUGUCAACGGAGAAAGAAAGACUGGGACACAGAGGAAGGAUCAUACGGGAUGUGGUGACCAGCAAAGUUACGUGAAUUGAUAUCCUGCAAAAUUAUUGAAGAUAUCAGCACUGGACCCUGAGCAGUGCAUGGCCUGCAAGAUCAUGAGAAGGCUGAAGAACCAGGAGUGACAAGAUACCACUGGAUGGUGGGGCACAUAAUUCCACUCAGGGACAGUGAUCUGAAAAUGUCUGUUUACCAACGGUCCCCAUCCAACCUGACAGAGCGUGUGAGGAUCUGCAGAAAAGAAUGGCAGAACAUCCCCAAAUCCAGGGUAUUGAGUGUAGAUUGAUGAGCUCAAUAAGGAUUGGAACAACAUUGACGGGGGGAAACACCCAAAGUCCAUCACUCAUGCACCGAGGAUCUGGCUGAUUACUGGAAAUUUGGAAGAUUGUUCUUUAUCUGCACUGUCACUUCUGGUAAAUAUUUAUGAAGAAGAAAUAUACUUUAUUAAU